AUACGGAGGGUGCGAGCGUUAAUCGGAAUUACUGGGCGUAAAGCGCGCGUAGGUGGUUUUGUAAGUCGGAUGUGAAAGCCCCGGGCUCAACCUGGGAAUUGCAUACGAUACUGCAAGGCUAGAGUAUAGUAGAGGAGAGUAGAAUUCCCGGUGUAGCGGUGAAAUGCGUAGAUAUCGGGAGGAAUACCAGUGGCGAAGGCGGCUCUCUGGACUAAUACUGACACUGAGGUGCGGAAGCGUGGGGAGCAAACAGGAUUAGAAACCCCAGUAGUCC
rnacentral:rRNA from 1 species